GACAGAGGCCUCAAGCGUUAGGCGGAAUCACUGGGCUUAAAGCGUGUGUAGGCGGAUCGUUAAGUCCCUUGUGAAAUCCCACGGCUCAACCGUGGAACUGCUGGGUAUACUGGCGGUCUUGAGCCACCUAGGGGCAACUGGAACAAGCGGUGGAGCGGUGAAAUGCGUAGAGAUCGGAAAGAACAUCAGUGGCGAAAGCGGCUUCCUGGUCCAGCACCGACGUUCAGGCACGAAAGCGUGGGGAGCAAACAGG
rnacentral:rRNA from 1 species